UACGUAGGGGGCAAGCGUUGUCCGGAAUCAUUGGGCGUAAAGAGCGUGUAGGCGGUUCGGUAAGUCGGCUGUGAAAGUCCAGGGCUCAACCCUGGGAUGCCGGUCGAUACUGCCGGACUAGAGUUCGGAAGAGGCGAGUGGAAUUCCCGGUGUAGCGGUGAAAUGCGCAGAUAUCGGGAGGAACACCUAUGGCGGAGGCAGCUCGCUGGGACGUUACUGACGCUGAGACGCGAAAGCGUGGGGAGCAAACAGG
rnacentral:rRNA from 1 species